rnacentral:rRNA from 1 species
UGAACCGGUUCUCGUUAGAUCACCGAAGUCAAGCAUCAUUGGGCACGGUCAGUAUUUGGGUGAGUGACCACCUGGGAACACCGCGUGCAGU